rnacentral:rRNA from 1 species
UACGAAGGGGGCUAGCGUUGUUCGGAAUCACUGGGCGUAAAGGGCGCGUAGGCGGCCGAUCAAGUCGGGGUGAAAGCCUGUGGCUCAACCACAGAAUUGCCUUCGAUACUGUUUGGCUUGAGACCGGAAGAGGUAAGUGGAACUGCGAGUGUAGAGGUGAAAUUCGUAGAUAUUCGCAAGAACACCAGUGGCGAAGGCGGCUUACUGGUCCGGUUCUGACGCUGAGGCGCGAAAGCGUGGGGAGCAAACAGG